GCGAUUUUUAAUUCAUAGGAAAUUAGAGAACAGGACAGGCACGUGUAACCUGUCCCCACAAGUAGGAUUUUGUUUUCGAUAAGAUUGUUUUAGAAAAAAAUGUGUAUUAGAUACAACAGAAAAAAGGGGGGUACCCCAACCCUGGUGUCUUAUUCACAGUCAAGGCAUAUCAGUAUGUUCAAAUAUCUCCGUUGUAGUAGAA
rnacentral:lncRNA from 1 species